GAUGAACGCUGGCGGCGUGCUUAACACAUGCAAGUCGAACGGAAAGGCCCUGCUUUUGUGGGGUGCUCGAGUGGCGAACGGGCGAGUAACACGUGAGUAACCUGCCCUUCACUUUGGGAUAACUUCAGGAAACUGGGGCUAAUACCGGAUAGGAGCUCCUGCUGCAUGGUGUGGGGUGGAAAGUUUCGGCGGUUGGGGAUGGACUCGCGGCUUAUCAGCUUGAUGGUGGGGUAGUGGCUUACCAAGGCUUUGACGGGUACGCGGCCUGAGAGGGUUACCGGCGACAUGGGGACUGAGAGACGGCCCAGACUGCGACGGGAGGCAGCAGGGGGGAAGAUUGCACAAGGGGCGGAAGCCUGAUGCAGCAGCGCCGCGUGCGGGAAAGCGGCUUUCGGGGUAAAAACCGCUUUCGCCUGUGACGAAGCGUGAGUGACGGUAAUGGGUAAAGAAGCACCGGCUAACUACGUG
rnacentral:rRNA from 1 species